AUUAUAACUAAUCACUUGUUGCUCAAAAUUUGUAUAUCCCCAAUUCAAUUUUGAGUAAUUUUAGAUAGUCAAUAUACAGAUGUGAACUAAAACUCGAUUAUUCAGCUCUGUAUAAAAAGUUUGCUGUUGUUGGAAAGCUUUGGACGGGGAUGUCAAAUCAUUAAUGUUUUUUAAUUUCAUUACUUAUGUGCUACGUCGGGUCAAAUUUUAUCGAUUUUACGUUCGCAAAAGGUAUGUAAUUUAAACAUUGACCUUCUUUGUUUAACCCUACUUUGUUAUUUCAGGAAUAUUGCCCACACAGUUGCUGCAUUUGGGUGUUUCCCAUAACCGGCCUUUUCGGCACCCGGAGAAAACCAUCCGUUGUGUUUCUGGCCGACUGGAUCUUGGAAAAUGAUUACAGCUGUGAUGAUUGGUGUUGCUUCAGGGGUUCUAAUCUGAUUCGAAGCUUUUCCAGAUAAUUGAACGAGAUCAUCGGAUAGCCCGUGAUUUUCGUGCAACAAAAAGCAGAAUUUGGAAUAAAAGCAUGUGAAGAAAUCUUGAGGCAUUUUUUACGUCGGCAGUUGAAAAUCCCCGACAAAAAGAACCACAGAGAUAGCAGGAACAAUAACCGGAUUGAGAAGAACAACAUGCAGUUACUAAUUUUGAGGUUCCAAACAGCAGUCGAAACCUGACGGUGGGCUCAAUUUUAGGAACGAAAGCUAAAAAAAAAAGUGCUGAAGAAAACUCUGCUGCUACAAAUGAACUCAAAACAGGAACUGCAUCAAAAAAAAUGAUGCUCCCAGACGAUAGUAACAAUCCGGUCGCUUACUUGCGAAACCAUGCCAAGCUCCAUGUCAUUACUUUUUAACUUAAAAGUAGUAAAAGGCUUGCGGAUAGACAAUAUCGAAUUCAAAUACUGUGUCCAAAUAUAACAACAUUCCUUGGCAUUAAUAUCGACGAAUUGCACACCGUUGCAUUUCAGAUUCAACAACGGUGUAGUUCAACUUCGGACACGACGGUGGGAGACAACGACAUGCUAGAGGCUAAAAUCUUUGAAGAGCACAUUAGUUGGUCCGAUUUCACAGCUGUGCUGAGUGGGCAGUCAGAAACCGGUGCUGAGCAGAGUAAAUAUAUCUGGGGAACGGCACGCUGGUUCUCAAUUCAAUCGGUGUUCUGCUUCCGGCGUUGAAUGCCUCACAAGCAUCUGUCCAUCAGCAUUAGGCAAUGGCACUUUGAUCAAUUGGCUUUGAGAAAGAUGGAAAAACUGUAUGUCGAUAAGGAGCUGAUCAGUGUUGGAUUCAUCGGACAUCCGGAUGUAAGGAAGUAAAAAGUCCCCAAAAUUGCUCCGAUCGCUGGCGAACUCAAAAUAGGGCAGUACACGCACUGAUAGAAUGGGCCUUCCUUUUCAAUUGUCCCGAGAAAGCCCUGAAAGGUGUGGUUCGAGUCAAAUUCGCAAACGAUCCCGAAGAACCGAAUUACGGAUGUUCAUCUUCGGAACAAUCUCUAGUGCAUGCAGUACAAAUGUAGACGUUUCCAAGUUGACCUGCACAGCAGGAAACGGCAACCGAAUUCAUGUAACACUGUGGUGGAAGACAGGUUUUUCCGGACGAUUGCCACCAAGGAACCUAUACUGACGGCCAAACAGAAGCGAGUCUUCUAUUUUGUUUAUAUUAUUGCCUAUAAUGAUGUAAAUAAAGAAUAAUUAAUUGUUGAAAAUAUCCUUUUUUUCCGAAGAAAUUCCUCUAACUUUACUUUUGCAGAGAAAUUAUCAAAAUGCAUGGGCAUCCCCAUGUCAAAAUAUACAGAAUUGACUAACUGGCUUUAAAGCUCAAAAUGUAUAAAAGCUUUUUGCUCACGCUCUGCGUAGAGCGCCCAAACAUAAAACUAAGUGGAGACACUUUUCUUGAAACUGUAUGGAUUUUUAUACAGAAUAGAGUAACUUUUGUUA